rnacentral:sRNA from 1 species
GAUAAGUUGCGUUAGGGAUUGAAGCGGCAUCCUUUUUUUGCUGCCAUAAAUGGCAAAAAAAGACCUGCCUGCCGGCAGGCAGGUACAGCGUAAAGCCCGACCGCCU